GGGGUGCAGCAGGCGCGAAAACUUUACAAUGCGGGAAACCGUGAUAAGGGGACACCGAGUGCCAGCAUCCUAUGCUGGCUGUCCGGGUGUGUAAAAUACACCUGUUAGCAAGGGCCGGGCAAGACCGGUGCCAGCCGCCGCGGUAACACCGGCGGCCCGAGUGGUGAUCGUGAUUAUUGGGUCUAAAGGGUCCGUAGCCGGUUUGGUCAGUCCUCCGGGAAAUCUGACAGCUUAACUGUUAGGCUUUCGGAGGAUACUGCCAGACUUGGAACCGGGAGAGGUAAGAGGUACUACAGGGGUAGGAGUGAAAUCUUGUAAUCCCUGUGGGACCACCUGUGGCGAAGGCGUCUUACCAGAACGGGUUCGACGGUGAGGGACGAAAGCUGGGGGCACGAACCGGAUUAGAUACCCGGGUAGUCCCAGCCGUAAACGAUGCUCGCUAGGUGUCAGGCAUGGCGCGACCGUGUCUGGUGCCGCAGGGAAGCCGUGAAGCGAGCCACCUGGGAAGUACGGCCGCAAGGCUGAAACUUAAAGGAAUUGGCGGGGGAGCAC
rnacentral:rRNA from 1 species